UAAGCUGACCGGGCAGCUGGUUCUAACCCACACACACUACCCUCCCCCCAUUUACCGGUUACGGCUGGUGGAGGGUCUCCUGCUAUUUACCGUUGACACCAUUAAAGUAUUCUGAUUGAUGGAGAUAAGGAAGUCCACUUAUUAUUGUAUUCAACAAGCCUACUGCCACAGGGGACCUAGCAUAAGACCGGAAACCGCCCCCCCCCCACAUGAUAUUUGCCAGUCCAGGCAAUUUCAACCGCAAGAGAAAACCAGUGAUGACAAGUUUUACAAAUAAUCGGAAAGUGUGGUCUUUUGAAGAGAGUUCUUGAAGUUGUUCAGCAUGUUGUUUUGAUGGAUUCUUGGAAGGAUGUACCUCUAUGAUGUUAGCUUCAGUUCUGGAGUAUAACACCAGUUGUUGCAUAUUUAAUAUCAGAUUUAUUAAAUACAUUGUUGUUUUGCAAACAUUACUUAAACUUUGAUAUUUCUUUGGUGUUUAUGUAUGAUAUUGUAGGGGAAUAUCUCUUUAUUGCAAUGGCAAAUAUAUUUUAAAAUAUAUAGCAUUAGCUAGAAGUUAUUUUUCACUGUUAAAGCUGCACUUUCACAGAUUGAUCACUUUGACAACUUACACAGGAUUCGAUUGCAUUUAUCAUACUUUGGCUCGGAGAAGUUUGCUUUGUGAUUUAUAUAUUAGGUCUUAAUUUAAAGAAUGCCAAAAUAAGCCGAUUCUGAGACAAAAAGUGUCAAACUAGAAUUCUGUGAGAGUGCAACUUUAAGAAUACUGUUAAUCGAGUGUGCAUGUGAUCCGGACUCUGAACAUUGGAUGAACUAUCAUUAAAUAUUGUAGAUUAACGUAAAUGGCCCAAAAUAUAAGAAUAACAAUGAAAAUAUGUACA